GACGUAGGGCGCGAGCGUUGUCCGGAUUUAUUGGGCGUAAAGAGUUCGUAGGCGGCUUGUCGCGUCGACCGUGAAACCUCACAGCUCAACUGUGAGCCUGCGGUCGAUACGGGCAGGCUAGAGUUCGGUAGGGGAGACUGGAAUUCUUGGUGUAGCGGUGAAAUGCGUAGAUAUCAGGAGGAAUACCGAUGGCGAAGGCAGGUCUCUGGGCCUUACCUGACGCUGAGGCGCGAAAGCUAGGGGAGCGAACCGG
rnacentral:rRNA from 1 species